AGUGAACGCUGGCGGUAGGCCUAGCACAUGCAAGUCGAACGGCAGCACAGUAAGAGCUUGCUCUUACGGGUGGCGAGUGGCGGACGGGUGAGGAAUACAUCGGAAUCUACUUUUUCGUGGGGGAUAACGUAGGGAAACUUACGCUAAUACCGCAUACGACCUACGGGUGAAAGCAGGGGAUCUUUGGACCUUGCGCGAUUGAAUGAGCCGAUGUCGGAUUAGCUAGUUGGCGGGGUAAAGGCCCACCAAGGCGACGAUCCGUAGCUGGUCUGAGAGGAUGAUCAGCCACACUGGAACUGAGACACGGUCCAGACUCCUACGGGAGGCAGCAGUGGGGAAUAUUGGACAAUGGGCGCAAGCCUGAUCCAGCCAUACCGCGUGGGUGAAGAAGGCCUUCGGGUUGUAAAGCCCUUUUGUUGGGAAAGAAAAGCAGCAGGUUAAUACCCCGCUGUUCUGACGGUACCCAAAGAAUAAGCACCGGCUAACUUCGUG
rnacentral:rRNA from 1 species